CACCUUCAGGAAGUGGACACCAGAAGCGGAUGAGGCUCUGAGAGACUGUUUUGAGUCCACGGACUGGAGUGUGCUACUGAAUGGAGAGGAUUUGGAGGAGGUCCCACAUUACACAACUGACUAUCUGAACUGCUGUGUGGACAUU